UGCUGGUUCAGUUUUUUGUUUGGGAUGAUUUCCAAUUUUACUUAUAGCUCAAAUUCUUACUGUUUUUCUGAACUCCUUUUUUUGUUUGAGUGAUGUUGUUUUCUCUUCAUGUAUGUGCUGAGAAUUCUGAUAGGAGAGUGACUAAUUUCUUCAGUAUUACAUUUGUAUUAUUACAUGCCAAUUUUCCAAUUACUAAUUUGACUCUCUUUCAGGUAUCUACUUCCUCAACAAGUGAGCAUGCCUGCAUUUAUCACUUGUGCAUACGCAACAUUUUUCAUGUUUAUCUUUUUCUCAAUCAUAUAAUUACUGGAAACAUAGAGAUAUCUUAUCCGGAGACUCCGGUAUCUUGGCGACAUCUUUUUUGGGGCAAAUUAUCUAUUUCGCGUUUACCUCUUCAUCUGCCAUGGCUGCCCAACCACACGAGAGGGUGAGCACUGCCAUGGCUAAACAACCACACGAAGCGAGGACCCAGUAUCUGCAGGUUUUCCCUACAAUCGUGCCCACCAUAUGUUUGUUGAAAUGCUUCCUUGCAGAUAUAGUUGAAACUUUUUCUCAACUGACCCAUUAAUUGUUCUUUCGUCUGUAUAUUCAGACCUGGAUCACCGGAUUAUUCAAUUCUUUUUGUGCUGCAGAACUACAGAAGUACUACUUGAUCAUUGCAGUGUCCUAUUCUGUGUAUACCAAUAUCUCUAAACAGCAGUUUCCAGUAUCUCUACAAUUUCCUAGUUGGACAGGAUGUUGCCAAAUACAGUAGAAAUCAUGGAGUGCGACAUUUUUAAGAGGCCACUUUUUGUCAAAAUAUGAAAGCUAUAUAAUGUGUACAUGGCGGUGUUACUGAAUGAAAGGAGGUAAUAUCUUUGCUCUUUCUCAA